AAAAAAUAUUUUCUUUAUGUUAAAAAAUUCAAAAAAUAUUUUUCGUAUAUGCCUUGUGAUGUCAUUAAUCACCUUCCGUACAGCGUGAUGUUAAUGUUAGAAAUAUAUAAAAAUCAUGUAUUUUAUUUAAUUAUUCUCUUUAAUAACGAAUUCUAGCCCCAUACUCUACCGCUAUACAAAAAAUCACGUCAUCC